AUCAGUCCAUCCAGGGCUCAGCAAACUAAGGAGGCGGCUACCUCUACGAUUUGAUUAAAGUUGGAGAGAUUAUGAAGAAGUAUUGCUGACUUCUAGAUCUUUCCCUCCCUAUGGUUAUUUUGCCCAGAUUCCUGCUUGGGCCUCUAGCCUCCCUGCUAUAUUGCUGGACCACCUAGAAGGAUAAUGGCUGCCAUUUGCAACGAGCGUCAAAACAUGAAUUAACUUCUGCCAGGGGAUGGUAGAGGGGUAGGGAAGCAUCACAGGACAGGGCCCUGCGUACGCCAGAAGUGCUCAUGUGAUCGGAGAGCCUAAGUGCCGACUGAAAAGGGAAGUGAGUCGAUUUGGGGCCUCCCCCAUUCUCUGGCCCCAUUUUCCGCAACGGGGCUAGGAGCCGGGAUUCAGUCUGUGGAGCCUACCAACCCCAUCACUUAGUCCUCGCUACAAUGGGGUAUUCCCAUCCCCCACCUAAGGGUAAGGAACUGAGGCUGAGGGGGUUGGAUGACUUCUCCAAGGUCAUACAACUAGAGAGAGGCACAGCUCGGACUUGAACUGGGGUGGUCUGACAUCAGCCCUUGCUCUCCCGCCCACCGUGCUCGGGUGUCCUCGCCCUCCACGGCCAUCUCUUCACUUGACAAAGGGGGUUGCUGAGGCCCAGAGAGGCCAAGAAAGCUCCCCAAGGUCACACGGUCGAUUGGUUGUAGAGCGAGACUGGGGAACAGAAAAGAAUGGCUUUUUGCUGCAUGCUUGGGAGAAGCCUACAGGAGUAAGUGUGAGGGGUGGGGAGGAAAAUGGGAGCAGAACGAGGGGUGAGGGGUUCCACCUUGUGGAUGAGGAGCCCCGACAGGAGUGAGGGGGCUGAGGAGGAGAAUCUGGAGACCCCCAGGAGGCCUCAGCAUUGACGCAGCCCACCCUGGAGCCCAGCGACGGCGUGAAACGCAACUCACUUCUUCUGCUUCUUCUCGAGCUCGUGACUCCGGCUUUGCUGGUCCUCCAGCUGGAGGCGGGUGUCCUCCAGGUCACAGGUCAGAUGGUGGCACUUCCUCUUUAGCUGCUGUCAUUUCUGAGGUGAGCACAGUGGGAAAGAGAACAGGGACUGGGGUCGGAGAGACCCUGUCUUGACCACUUUCUGCCUGUUUCCCAGGGAGGAAGCUACUUCUCUGACCCCGUCUGCUCAAGAGGUGCCCCAUAGAGUCUUUACAAGCCCUGCCUCCAAAGGAAGACUGAGGGCUGUAUACCUAAUAACCCCAUCAGCCGGCAUCAUCCCAGAGCCCAUGUGGGGAUUAGCCAUGGAGCAGCCAAAAUGGUGGCCAUAGAAGAUCUGGCCAGGAGAUCUGAGAGAUGGGCUCUGAAGGUUAGAGCAGUAAAUGGCCCUUCCGACGGGCUGAAUUACACGGGGAUACACAUGACCGUGAACAAACAGAAAAGCAAAGCCUCUUGCAUCUUUUUCGAGGAACCCCCCCCCCCAGAUGUCCUCGUUUGAAUCUGGGAGAGAGGACAACUCAGCACACUCGCUUUGAAGAAAUGGCCUCAUUAAAGAAUUUCUUUAAAUAAGCAAAACUCUGAGUUAAUGAA